UGAAGCGGCAAAAGCUCAAAUUUGAAAUCUGGCUCUUUCAGAGUCCGAGUUGUAAUUUGAAGAAGGUAUCUUUGGGUCUGGCUCUUGUCUAUGUUUCUUGGAACAGAACGUCACAGAGGGUGAGAAUCCCGUGCGAUGAGAUGAUCCAGGCCUAUGUAAAGUUCCUUCGAAGAGUCGAGUUGUUUGGGAAUGCAGCUCUAAGUGGGUGGUAAAUUCCAUCUAAAGCUAAAUAUUGGCGAGAGACCGAUAGCGAACAAGUACAGUGAUGGAAAGAUGAAAAGAACUUUGAAAAGAGAGUGAAAAAGUACGUGAAAUUGUUGAAAGGGAAGGGCUUGAGAUCAGACUUGGUAUUUUGUAUGUUACUUCUUCGGGGGUGGCCUCUACAGUUUAUCGGGCCAGCAUCAGUUUGGGCGGUAGGAGAAUUGCGUUGGAAUGUGGCACGGCUUCGGUUGUGUGUUAUAGCCUUCGUCGAUACUGCCAGCCUAGACUGAGGACUGCGGUUUAUACCUAGGAUGUUGGCAUAAUGAUCUUAAGUCGC
rnacentral:rRNA from 1 species